UAGGGAAUCUUCCGCAAUGGGCGAAAGCCUGACGGAGCAACGCCGCGUGAGUGAUGAAGGUCUUCGGAUUGUAAAACUCUGUUAUUAGGGAAGAACAUAUGUGUAAGUAACUGUGCACAUCUUGACGGUACCUAAUCAGAAAGCCACGGCUAACUACGUGCCAGCAGCCGCGGUAAUACGUAGGUGGCAAGCGUUAUCCGGAAUUAUUGGGCGUAAAGCGCGCGUAGGCGGUUUUUUAAGUCUGAUGUGAAAGCCCACGGCUCAACCGUGGAGGGUCAUUGGAAACUGGAAAACUUGAGUGCAGAAGAGGAAAGUGGAAUUCCAUGUGUAGCGGUGAAAUGCGCAGAGAUAUGGAGGAACACCAGUGGCGAAGGCGACUUUCUGGUCUGUAACUGACGCUGAUGUGCGAAAGCGUGGGGAUCAAACAGGAUUAGAUACCCUGGUAGUCCACGCCGUAAACGAUGAGUGCUAAGUGUUAGGGGGUUCCCGCCCCUUAGUGCUGCAGCUAACGCAUUAAGCACUCCGCCUGGGGAGUACGACCGCAAGGUUG
rnacentral:rRNA from 1 species